ACGGAACAAAAAAAAAAAAAAAAAAAAAAAAAAACCGACAA
rnacentral:ribozyme from 12 species